UCUUAUGCAUUUUUAGGCAUCUUUUGACAUGUCAGUAUUACUGGAGGCAAGAAGAUAUGAGAGUGUUUGUUUUAUUACUGACUCAAUUUAUCAUUCAAAUCAACCUGGAGAGACCAUCAGCUACAAUGGAAGAUAAUUGAUAGUGUCCAGUGAUUGUAAGAGAAUGUUACUUAAAGGGACUAAUACACUGGCUGGUAGUUGUGUAUCCAUGUUGGAUAUAUUUCAUAAUUUAUUGAAUACAUUAAAUGUACCAAUUCCUCAAGCUGUAAGAAUGCUAGCAGAAAACCCAGCAAAAGUGGCUGGUUUAAAAGGACUUGGUUCCAUUGCUAUGGACAACAGAGCUGAUCUGUUAUUAUUUGACAAAGAUCUCACACUAACUGCGACUAUGGUGGCUGUUAAUACU